rnacentral:tRNA from 1 species
GCCUGGGUGGCUCAGUUGGUUGAGUGUCCGACUUCAGCUCAGGUCAUAUCUCACAGUCUACGGGUUCGAGCCCCGUGUCAGGCU